AUGCAAAGAACUUUGAAAAGAGAGUUAAAGAGUACCUGAAAUUGCUGAAAAGGAAGCGAAGGAAACCAGUGCCAGGCGCGUCAUAUUUCCUUGUUCGCUUGCGAAUGGGGCGCUGUGGCCGCCGUUGCCAGGCUUUGUUGAAUCGCCGGGAAGUGCGCUUAGGGAGUUUGACCUGAGCAUKCCGCCGUCGUCUUGACCGAGAAUGGCGAAAUGGUUUUCUUUUUCCCGUCUUGAAACACGGACCAAGGAGUCUAACAUAUGUGCGAGUACAGAGGUGGCAAACCUCCGUGCGCAAUGAAAGUGACAGUGGCUGGAGCUUUGUGCACAGUCCGCCGGCCUCAAUCCCUCGGGAGAACGGUCUGAGUGUGAGCAUACAUGUUGGGACCCGAAAGAUGGUGAACUAUGCCUGAAUAGGGUGAAGCCAGGGGAAACUCUGGUGGAGGCUCGUAGCGAUUCUGACGUGCAAAUCGAUCGUCAAAUUUGGGUAUAGGGGCGAAAGACUAAUCGAACCAUACUAGUAGCUGGUUCCCUCCGAAAUUUCCCUCAGGAUAGCUGCGAUCGGAUAUCAAUUUUAUCA
rnacentral:rRNA from 1 species